rnacentral:lncRNA from 1 species
GUCACGAGGCUUGUCUUCUGCCAGGAGUGGAGACUUUCCCACAGACUUCUUGUUUCUUCUUGCUGCUUUUGGGUGACUCAGCCUAUGACACUUUUGCUCCUCCUGAAAUCUCCAUAUCUUGCUUUUCUCAAAUUCCAAGGUAGCCUUUGCGCAACAUAUCACUCUCCACUGACUCUUGUCCCAUCAGGGCCCAUAGUGGAUGGCUGUAUGGGGGCCAUGUGACUGAACUCCUGAUCCUCGUUUCAGCCCACUCAUGUGACAUGCAUGGAGCUCUUCAGCAGGGACUUACUGACCAGGACAAGAGCUUGAGACUUUGAGGGGAUCUGAUUGUCACUGCACAAUCAAGGACAGUAUUCCCAAGAGUGGAUGUUGCUCAAGAUAGUCCAAGGAAUUCUAUGAAGAAAAGGACUCCACAGACAAUAAAUUUUGGACACCCUGUUUCAACACAGUGCAUCUUAGAGACUGGUGUUUGCAAGUAUAUGGAGCAGGAAACUUCAUCCCGAAGAUGGAGACCCCGGGGCUGUCAGCAGGCGUUAGGCAAGUGCCUCAAAAUUCCCAAUUCCCAGCAAGAGAAGCCAACUGAAGGAUGAGACAGGGUUUCUGCCUUCCCUGGGUCCUCCAGUAUUACAUGGAGGGGUUGGAGUGAACCUUCUGGAGGUGGGGUCAAUGACUCUUGGAGGUAGGGGAAAGCUUCCUUUGACCAAGUUGCACACAAAGACAGAAAACGUGUUUGCAUGGGCAUUGUUUAACCUGCUUAAAAGAAUGAAAAGAUUUUAGCACUUUUUUCUUUUUCUGUAAUUACUAAAGAAGUACAUGUUUUUGCAAAAAAAAAAAAAAAUCAAACAAUAUACAAGU